GCCCCCGUGGUGUAGGUGGAUAGCAUAGGUGGGUUCGCACCGCCUGACUGGGGUUCAAAUCCCCACGGGGGCG
rnacentral:tRNA from 1 species